rnacentral:lncRNA from 1 species
GCUCAAUCAAUCAAUAAACAAAUAAACAAAUACACAAAUAAGUUUGCUGUGUCAGUACCACAAUUUAAAAAAAGGGAAUCCCUCUGUGUAAGUGAAAGCGAAUUAUGUUAAAUUUUUUUUUAUUGUCUAUAUGCAUUAACAAAAUUAGUGGCCAUGGGUUUUUUUCCAAUUUAGGUUCUACUAAGCCAAACCAUAUAUGUGUUGUUCACGUCAAUGAGGUGAUAAGAAAACAACUCAAAAGUUACCAUAUAUAUACAUCGUAGAGAUCAUAUACGACAUUUGACAAAUACCAGACGGCCAUACGGUAUUCAGGCUCUGAACAAUCUUAUAGAACAAGACCACGUAAACAAGGGGAGGGUGUGAUAUACUUGUAACAGAGGC